UCGGUAGCUCAUUUGGUAGAGCAACAGCCUGUUCGCUGUGUGUAGCGGGUUCGAUUCCCGUCCGAA
rnacentral:tRNA from 1 species